GACGGAGGAGGCAAGCGUUAUCCGGAAUUAUUGGGCGUAAAGCGUCCGUAGGCGGCUUUUUAAGUCUGUUGUCAAAGCCCACAGCUCAACUGUGGAUCGGCAAUGGAGACUGGGGAGCUUGAGUGUGGUAGGGGUAGAGGGAAUUCCCGGUGUAGCGGUGAAAUGCGUAGAUAUCGGGAAGAACAUCGGUGGCGAAAGCGCGCUACUGGGCCGGAACUGACACUCAGGGACGAAAGCUAGGGGAGCGAAAGGG
rnacentral:rRNA from 1 species